rnacentral:tRNA from 1 species
GCCAUAGCUCAGAGGCAGAGCACCAGCUUUAGAUGCAGGAGGUUCCUGGUUCAAUUCUCAGUAUAACCC